rnacentral:rRNA from 1 species
GUCGGGAAUAUUGCCCAAUGGACGGAAGUCUGAGGCAGCAACGCCGCGUGCGCGACGAAGGCCUUCGGGUCGUAAAGCGCUUUUCGGGAGGAUGAGGAAGGACAGUACUCCCGGAAUAAGUCACGGCUAACUACGUGCCAGCAGCCGCGGUAAAACGUAGGUGGCGAGCGUUAUCCGGAUUUACUGGGCGUAAAGCGCGUUCGGGCGGCACGACAAGUCGGGCAUGAAAUCUCUCGGCUCAACCGGGAGGGGCUGUCCGAAACUGUCGAGCUUGAGGGCAGUAGAGGCAGGUGGAAUUCCCGGUGUAGUGGUGAAAUGCGUAGAGAUCGGGAGGAACACCAGUGGCGAAAGCGGCCUGCUGGGCUGCACCUGACGCUGAAACGCGAAAGCUAGGGGAGCGAACGGGAUUAGAAACCCUGGUAGUCC